UACGUAGGGUGCGAGCGUUGUCCGGAAUUAUUGGGCGUAAAGAGCUCGUAGGCGGUCUGUCGCGUCGAUCGUGAAAACUUGGGGCUUAACCCUGAGCUUGCGGUCGAUACGGGCAUGACUGGAGUUCGGCAGGGGAGACUGGAAUUCCUGGUGUAGCGGUGAAAUGCGCAGAUAUCAGGAGGAACACCGGUGGCGAAGGCGGGUCUCUGGGCCGAUACUGACGCUGAAGAACGAAAGCUAGGGGAGCAAACAGG
rnacentral:rRNA from 1 species